rnacentral:rRNA from 1 species
CCGAAAGGUUUGCUAAUACCGCAUGUUCUGGUAGAGGGAUAGAGACCUACCAGCAAAGGGAGAAAUCCGCUUUGGGAGGGGCCUGCGUCCCAUCAGCUAGUUGGUAAGGUAACGGCUUACCAAGGCGACGACGGGUAGGGGACCUGAGAGGGUGGCCCCCCACAAUGGAACUGAAACACGGUCCAUACACCUACGGGUGGCAGCAGUAGGGAAUAUUGGUCAAUGGGCGAAAGCCUGAACCAGCAACGCCGCGUGUGCGAUGAAGGCCUUCGGGUCGUAAAGCACUUUUCUGGGAGAUGAGAAAGGACAGUAUCCCAGGAAUAAGUCUCGGCUAACUACGUGCCAGCAGCCGCGGUAAAACGUAGGAGGCGAGCGUUAUCCGGAUUCACUGGGCGUAAAGCGCGUGCAGGUGGCUUGGUAAGUUAGGCGUGAAAUCUCCCGGCUCAACUGGGAGAGGUCGUCUAAUACUACCGGGCUUGAGAGCAGAAGAGGAAGAUGGAAUUCCCGGUGUAGUGGUGAAAUGCGUAGAUAUCGGGAGGAACACCAGUGGCGAAGGCGAUCUUCUGGUCUGUUUCUGACACUCAGACGCGACAGCUAGGGUAGUAAA